rnacentral:rRNA from 1 species
CCUACGGGCGGCUGCAGUGGGGAAUAUUGCACAAUGGGCGCAAGCCGGAUGCAGCCAUGCCGCGUGUGUGAAGAAGGCCUUCGGGUUGUAAAGCACUUUCAGCGGGGAGGAAGGCGUUAAGGUUAAUAACCUUGUCGAUUGACGUUACCCGCAGAAGAAGCACCGGCUACCUCCGUGCCAGCAGCCGCGGUAAUACGGAGGGUGCAAGCGUUAAUCGGAAUUACUGGGCGUAAAGCGCACGCAGGCGGUCUGUCAAGUCGGAUGUGAAAUCCCCGGGCUCAACCUGGGAACUGCAUUCGAAACUGGCAGGCUAGAGUCUUGUAGAGGGGGGUAGAAUUCCAGGUGUAGCGGUGGAAUGCGUAGAGAUCUGGAGGAAUACCGGUGGCGAAGGCGGCCCCCUGGACAAAGACUGACGCUCAGGUGCGAAAGCGUGGGGAGCAAACAGGAUUAGAUACCCUAGUAGUC